AACGAACGCUGGCGGCAGGCUUAACACAUGCAAGUCGAACGCAUCGCAAGAUGAGUGGCAGACGGGUGAGUAACGCGUGGGAACAUACCCUUUUCUACGGAAUAGCUCUGGGAAACUGGAAUUAAUACCGUAUACGCCCUACGGGGGAAAGAUUUAUCGGGGAAGGAUUGGCCCGCGUUGGAUUGGCUAGUUGGUGGGGUAAAGGCCUACCAAGGCGACGAUCCAUAGCUGGUCUGAGAGGAUGAUCAGCCACAUUGGGACUGAGACACGGCCCAAACUCCUACGGGAGGCAGCAGUGGGGAAUAUUGGACAAUGGGCGCAAGCCUGAUCCAGCCAUGCCGCGUGAGUGAUGAAGGCCUUAGGGUUGUAAAGCUCUUUCACCGAUGAAGAUAAUGACGGUAGUCGGAGAAGAAGCCCCGGCUAACUUCGUGCCAGCCGCCGCGGUAACAC
rnacentral:rRNA from 1 species